ensembl:snRNA U6 U6 spliceosomal RNA
GUGCUCACUGUAGCAACACAUACACUAAAAUUGGAAUGAUACAGAGAAGAUCAGCAUGGCCCCUACACAAGAAUUGACAUACAAAUUCAUGAAGCAUUCCAUAUUUUA